rnacentral:rRNA from 1 species
AUGCCUCCCCUCUACAUACUAUUCGGGCUUCUCCUCUUGUACACUCCUCUUUGGUGCUUCUCUGUAGCUGCAUAUGAAGAUUCUCUCACGGCAGGCCAAGCACUCGCCGUCGGUGGCAAGCUCGUCUCAAGAAACGGCAAGUUUGCCCUCGGCUUCUUCCAGCCAGCAGCAAGCGGCAUCAGUAAGUCGUCCCACAAUGCCACCUCCCCCAGCUCCAGCUGGUACCUUGGCAUAUGGUUCAAUAAGAUCCCAGUUUUCACUACCGUGUGGGUUGCUAAUAGGGAUCAGCCCAUCACCAACCCUAGUGUCAACCUAACACAGCUCAAGAUAUCAAGCGAUGGCAAUCUUGUCAUCGUAAACCAUGCCGCCAAAACUGAAUCCAUAGUUUGGUCCACUCACAUUGUCAAUAGGAAAAACAGUAGCAUAAACACCACCACCUCUAGCUCCGUUGUUCUCUUGAACAGUGGAAACCUUGCCCUACUCGUAAAUAGCCAAGAGAUGUUGUGGCAGAGCUUCGACUACCCAACAGAUAUCAGGCUUCCUGGCGCCAAGUUGGGCCGUAACAAGGUCACUGGUUUCAGUCGCCAGUACAUAUCAAAAAAGAGCCUCAUUGAUCUGGGUCUUGGCUCAUACAGCAUUGAACUAAAAGACACCAGCGGGAUUGUCCUCAAGCGCAGCAACAACCCCCUGGUAAAGUAUCUGACUUAUGCAACCACGGGAUCAUCAUCUUUGAUACCAGUACUCAAGUCAUUACUAGAUUUGGAUCCCCGGACCAAAGGUUUGAUUAACCCAAUAUAUGUCGAUAACAACCAAGAGGAGUACUACACGUACACUUUACUGGAUGAAUCAUCAACUUCCAUGUUUGUCUCACUAGACAUCUCUGGUCAGGUCAAACUGAAUAUUUGGUCACAAGCCAACCAGUCCUGGCAAACCAUAUAUUCUGAGCCUGCAGAUCCCUGCAGCCCACCUGCUACAUGCGGACCUUUCACGGUCUGCAAUGGCAUUGCACAUCCACCCUGUGACUGUAUGGAGAGCUUCUCCCAUAAGUCACCGCAGGAUUGGGAGUUUGAGGAUCGAACAGGAGGAUGUAUCAGAAACACACCGUUACAUUGCAGCACUAGUGGUAACAGCAAAAACAUGACAAGUUCAUCAGACAUGUUCCACCCCAUUGCUCAAGUUCAAUUGCCCUACAACCCGCAAAUAAUAGAUGUUGCUACCACUCAGAGCAGAUGUGAAGAAGCAUGUCUCGGUUCCUGCUCCUGCACUGCUUAUUCCUAUAGCAAUAGCAGAUGCUCUGUCUGGCAUGGGGAAUUGUUUAGUUUAAAUCUGAAUGAUGGCAUUGAUAAUAAUUCUGAAGAUGUUCUUUACCUUCGCCUUGCCACCAAAGAUUUGCUGCCAGGUUCCAGAAAAAAGAAAAGAAAACCAAACGUCGGAGUUUUUACUGCUGCAAGUAUUAUUGGUUUUGGGUUACUAAUGCUCAUGCUGUUGUUACUGAUUGGAGGAACAAAUUCAAGUGGUGUGGUUUGCCUUUAUACGGCAAUCAAGGUAGUGCUGGUGGAAUUAUAG